rnacentral:lncRNA from 1 species
UAUGAGCCUGCAUGGAGAGUGAAUGAGAAGGAAGGUUCACAGCAACUCCAAUUCUGUGUCUCAUGCACACACAGCCUGGAUCUUCCCUCUGCAGUGCCCUUGACUUAUUGAAAAUCUGAUUGCCCUUCUAUAAUUCCACUGACUUAUGUUUGUAGGGUGGGUCUCCAUGAUUCAGCUGGGUCAUUGUUCAGCUGGGAGGAGCUAGAAGAAACAAGUUCAGUUUAAGUGUGUACUCAAGUGGAAAAAGGCUGCUCUCCUGAGACCAAGGAAUUUGACAGAGANGUUUAGAGGAAUAACUGUCUGGUAAGUUUGUGGGGUGGAUCCUCUGGAAUUUGCAGAGGGUGUUGGGNACAAGAACAAGGGGACACUUUAUGAAACUGAUGUGUGUGGGAGUUAGGACCAAAAAGGGGAAGUAUUUUUUUCAUCCAGAGGGUUAUCUGUCUAUGGGAUGUAUUACCAGUCUAGAUAANUUUAAGAAAGGAUUAGAUAAAUUCAGGUAGGACAGGUGCAUCAAUGGCUAGAAUGGAUGCUUGGGUACUGCCUCCAUGUUGGAGAGACAAGCAGAAUGCUUUUAAAAGCCAUUCACAGGGAGUCNAGAGCAGGUGAAGGUUUUGCCUUUGUCUUCUGCUUGAGAUGCCCAGAAGCAAUUGGUGAGCCACUGGGUGAUAUAGGAUAUUGGACUAGAUGGGCCAUGGCUCAAUCCAGCAGGGCUCUGCUUAUGUUCUUAUGAUUUCCCUAACUUGCAUAACAGUUAUGUAUCAUGUAGUCAUUGUGAGAAACAAAUCAUAGUAUUGUACAAAGAAUGACAGUAAUACAUACCCAAGAAAAAAUUGUAACAAUUUUUUAAACUGAAUUUGAAACCUAGGUGGUGGAAGGUUGAUCUAUUAUUCUAUUCUUCAGCUACUUUUAUCAUGUUUGAAGCUCCUGGAAAGACGGAAGAAAAGCGAGCUGCUUCUUUUGUUGGGAAGGAAAGGAAAGGAAAGGAAAGGAAAGGAAAGGAAAGGAAAGGAAAGGAAAGGAAAGGAAAGGAAAGGAAAGGAAAGGAAAGGAAAGGAAAGGAAGCUCCAUAGGCACAAUGCUGACUCAGCACUGUGCAGGUGGAGCUUCCUUUUGCUUGCUAUUGCCAGUCCAGGUCAGGAGGAGUCAGGACAGGUGACGACGAACAAUCUUUCCAUCCACCCCACAGGGAUCACGCGGAACCAGACGGACGUCACGGAAGUACGCACUGGAUGCGGGGGCGGGGAAAGAAUCUGGUCGGAACGGAAGUGCGCGCGCGCGCAUUGGGAGGUCUCAAAGGAAGUGAGCGCGCGCGGUUGCCUGGUUGGCUGUUUUUUUCCGGGAAGCUCAGCUGCCCUGUCCUCUGCGCCACCAGACACAAGGAGAACCAGCCGCCACUAGCCAAGGUGUAGACUAUCUUCUGUAAUGGGUCCAUUCUCUCUACCUCACAAAACUUUUGCCAUUUGGGCUCAUCCUUGCCUUACCUUGCCAUUCAUGAUUGUUAAGGCUGAGAUGUGAGCAGUUCAGAUUAAAACUUAACUAUGUCAAUUGAUUGCAUUAUUCAUUUAUGUGGGCAGGAAAUAUUUGUAAUGGUUUUUACCAUUGCCUCUCUAUCUUUC